AGCCCCGUCGUCUAGCGGUCAAGGAUAGGAGGCUCUGAACCUCUUGACAUCGGUUCGAAUCCGGUCGGGGCUAC
rnacentral:tRNA from 1 species